rnacentral:lncRNA from 1 species
AUUCGUAUAGAUUACGGACGAAUAUCACAGCGGUGAUCAAAUAAAAUUAGUGAUUUUCGUGGGAUAGUGGGAUACUGGGUCGGUGACUCUAGUUACGUGCGUAUUAAAACUACGACAGCGAGAUGAAUAUUUUCUUCCAAAAAUCAAUCCAUUCGUACGUGCAUACGAUGCAUGUUAUACGAUACGUUAACUGAAUAAUUGAUAAUUGCGAAAAUUAUUCGAAACGUAUUAAAUUCUCGACACGUAUGUCCGUUGUUUCGACGACUGUUGUUCAUCGAUGUGCAACACAUACGAGUGCAAAUUCGAUUUCUUUAUCAUUUGUGCAACGUGUGCGACGCCAUUACAUUUGUGAAAAAAAGUGGCGCCAAAUUAAUCACGAUAGUGAAAUCAAAAUGUCCACUCUAACGAUAAAUAAAACACAAUUUUUCAAAUGUAAUGAAAAUUUAAUGGAAAUAUGUUCGGAUCGUUAAAUAUGUUGCCGGUCGUCAAUUUGUUUUGUCAGAUUGCUCGAAAAGAUAAAAGCUUUAACCAACAAGCUUAUCUAACGACACGACAAACAAACAAAGAGACAAAUUACGGUAGUAAAAUCGAGUUCCGAUAAUAAUUGCGAAACGAUCGAAACGAGGAUAUAUAUAUAUAUAGAAGGACCUGUGGGACUCGGAAUCGGAUGGACUGAAUUUCAUCCCGGUGUUCCCUUAACUGUAUCCAAACGACGAAGAAGAACAAACUCGACGACGUCGAGGGUCUCCUUCCCGUUCUUUCGCCGGCCAGCUGGUAAACAGUGUUUCCAAGCCGAACGGGUAAAUCAAGGAAUCGUUCGUCUCCCGAUUACCCGGGACGCGCCCGUUUUUCCCACCUGGCUUACUUACCUUUUUUUUUUUUUUCACCAUCUUCGUUCCGUCGGCCACGUCGCCGCCGCGAACCUCUCCUCGCCGGGGACAAUUUCUUCGUCGCUUUUCAGCUUUCUCCUUACGGGAAUUUGCCGGGGAAUAAUGGUGAGUAACUGUACAAAGACCAAGCGGACCGAUAUAUACCGCGUAUUCGUAUAAACAAAAUUAAAUAUCCGACUUUCUAAUUAACGACACGUCUACACGGGACAAUGACGCCUGUUGUAAUUUUAUAAUUUAUAAAACUGAUGAGCUUUUACGAAUCUCGCGAAAGUCUUUUGUUCGCGAGAUCGUUUCAAAAAAUUCACUCUCCCCGGAACGGAAUGGGCGCUCGUUUAAAAACGAGAGAUAAAAUCACACGGAGUCGGUUAGUCUCGUUCGGCCAUUCCGGUAAUUGACGAGUUCGCGAGCCAAUCGAAAGAGGGCUCCAGGAGAAGAGGAGCUAGAGUUAGAAUCGUAACCGUGUAACCGUAAACCGUCCACGGUUUAAUUAUAUCGUCUUCUCUCUCUCGCUCUCGCAACCGAAUUUUGUUCAUCCGUGAAAAAGAGGCGCGCGCGCGCGCGCGCCGACUUAUCGAAUUUCUUCCAACGUUGUCAACGUUUCGGCCCGUGGCCAACAGGUUGCGCCAAGAGUUGAUCCCGAGACAAAGAUCGGGUUUCCUCACCGCCUGCGGGAAUAUCGUGUUCCUCUCGUCACGGGGGUGGCGUUUCGUACCGGAAACGGAAGCGAACCGUGCUUCCACGCGAGAUAUUCUCUCUUCCUCGAAUAUAUACGAAAAAAAAAUAUACGCAAUAAAUUAAUUAUUUCUCGAAUAAUCGCAAACUUGUCACGAUUGAAGGUUAAAGAGAAAGAGAGACGAAAUUGGGAGGGGGGAAGAAAAGUGACGGAUGGAAAGAAGAAAACGCGUGUUACGAUAUCGUAACCGUCAAAUUAUUAUUACUCUCUUACAAUAUCUGUCUCUUUUUUUUUUAAUGUUUCUCCUUGAGCUAUAAACCGUCAUUUCGUGUUUGUACAUGAAAAUAGUCCAAAAAAGUCAAAAGCACUGUUCGACGCGCUUAGCUUCUUCUUCUUCUUCUUCUUCUUCUUCUCUGUUCUCGCGCGAUUUAAUUAAUCGGGUUUUUUUAAAAAAUCGCAGUUUUUAUCUAAGUUUAUAUUAUCUUAUACUCCUCUCCUCUCCUUACCCCCCCCUCUACGCGUAUUGUUUCUCAUUUUUUUUUCUUUUUUUUAAUUUUAUUCUCUCCUCCUCUCGGGUAGCAGUAGUAGUAAUAGUAAUAGUAGUAGUAGUAGUAAUAGUAGUAAUAGCAGUAGCGGUACCACUAUAUCUGUAUAAGUGUGGAUUAGAAUGAACACCGGCGGUGCUUUUUCGACGAUCGCUCACGACAGGAUCGGUAACAACGCGCAUCGUGAAGCGCGAGACAUUGAGCUCUUUUAUCCCCUUCUUCCUUCCUUUCUUUCUUUUUUUUUUAUUUUUAUUUUUGGCAGUGCGAAGCGAACUCUCCUCGAUUUUUUCUCUCCUUUUUUCAAAUCGUUAAUCGGCUCGUCAGUCGCGAAGAAAAAACACGAAUUUGCGACAACGAAGUGGCAACCGAUCGUCCCAAAAAUUUAAUUCCUCGUCUCGUUUAUCGUUGCAUCUCGCUCGUGUACACGCGAUAACAAGUAGGUACAUCUUUCUUCACACAAUUCUAUCGGGGACAAUUUAUUGCCACUUGGUCGGAAAAAUUGUGUGUCGUUCAAAGAAACGAUCGGCUCGAUAAAACGGUUAAAGUAAAAAAAAAAAAAGGCGAUCGGAGCAGGCUUUCCAGUUUUCGAAGGUUGAAAGACAGCGGUGCCGAUUCCUCUAUCGAUCGAUCACAUCUCAACGUUUUUAAACUUUAUACAUAUACGUGUAUAUGUAUAUAAAUGUAUAUAUAUUUAUAAUAUGUAUUUAUAUGUAUAUAUAUGUGUGUGUGUGUGUUUUUAUUAUCCGAUUUAUCUCGUUCUCUUUUUUUGCUCGCCUUUACGACGGAGAAGAAAAUGGCGGCUCGUUACGUUCGGUGGAACGUAAGAGGCGAAGCUCGGCCGAGAGGGAAGGAACGCGUGGAACGUGUGGUCGUACGAUCGAUAAUCGGCACGAGGCUCGAACGUCGGGGAACAAUGGAAAAUUUGACGAAAGGAUA